UGAACGCUAGCGGCAGGCCUAAUACAUGCAAGUCGAGGGGUAAGGUCUCUUCGGAGAUACACGACCGGCGCACGGGUGCGUAACGCGUAUGCAAUCUACCCAUUGCUGGGGCAUAGCCCGGAGAAAUUCGGAUUAAUUCCCCAUAAUGCAGGGAUACCACAUGGUAAUAUUGCUAAAGAUUUAUCGGCAGUGGAUGAGCAUGCGUCUGAUUAGCUAGUUGGUGAGGUAACGGCUCACCAAGGCGAUGAUCAGUAGCGGGUCUGAGAGGAUGAUCCGCCACACUGGCACUGAGAUACGGGCCAGAAUCCUACGGGAGGCAGCAGUAGGGAAUAUUGGUCAAUGGGCGCAAGCCUGAACCAGCCAUGCCGCGUGCAGGAAGACGGCCUUCUGGGUUGUAAACUGCUUUUAUACAGGAAGAAAAAGGUCAUGCGUGACCAAUUGACGGUACUGUAAGAAUAAGCACCGGCUAACUCC
rnacentral:rRNA from 1 species